rnacentral:lncRNA from 1 species
CUAGAAACCAACCCUGCAGGCACCUCCAUGUUGGACUUCUAGUUUCCAAAGCUGUGAGAAAGUGCAUAUCUGUUGUUUAAAUCAUCCAGCCUAAGAGAGCCAAAUGAGUGUGGUGACGUUAUUUCCGGCCUCGUCAGCAUGUGUGUGAUCAACACGAUCACACAGAAGACCGCCGCAUCCAAGAAAGGAGCAAGGAACACAAAGACAUACUUCAGACUGAUUGAACAGAAGGCAAAAUUUUCAACGGACAUGAUAAUGCAACACUUCCAACAUGGAUACAUUUGUUAUAGGCCGAAAAGCUGCAUCAUAUAAUGAGUUACAUAAAAGAGUAACUUCUGUCUUUCCGGCAAGCUCUCCUUUGGUGGCUUUGAUAAAGCUAUAUGGAGAAGUCCGUGCAGGAAGAACUGAGAGCAGCUCUGGCCGAUGUCCAAAAAGCCACUGAGACCCUCAGUCCAACAGUCCACAAGAACUAAAUCCUGCCAACACUCAGAGCUGGUGAGUGGAUCCUUCCCCAACUGAGCCUUUGGAUGAGACCCUGGCUGACACCUUGACUGCAGCCUCGUGAGAUCUUACAGCAAAGAACUCAGCUAAGUCAUGACCAGAUUCUUGAAAACUGAGACAAUAAAUAAAAAAAUAAACUAUGUUGACCUAAGC